rnacentral:rRNA from 1 species
AGCAAGCACACAAAGGCAUACACGACGGCCGAGGACAAGCUUCUUUGCGAGUGUUGGAGGGACAUUGGACAAGACCCCAAGACCGGUGCCGAACAAAAGCAUUCAACUUUUUGGAUUCGUGUCCAUCGGGAGUUUCAUGAGCGCAAGAAGUUUCGUCCUUACCAAAUUGUGAGCAUGCGUGGGUGGGUGUCCGUUUCUAAGCGAUGGAGAGUGAUCCAACAAGAGUGCAACAAGUUUUGUGCCACUCUUGAGAGCGUCAAAGCCCGCCCCGUGAGCGGCAUCGGCAUGCAAGACAUGGUAUAG